rnacentral:lncRNA from 1 species
AUGGACAAAAUUCCAAAGUUCUUUUAUCUUUUUAUUUUCGUGUUUUUGGUGGAAUGUCAACUUCAUUUUCACUUGUCUUAUUCCGCACCCAUAAAAAUCAAUGGAUCACCAACCAGACCAAAUGAAAAAGACGGAGCACAUCAAGAUGGUGAAUAUCCAUCAAAAUACUCAGGUAUAAUGAAAUAUGACAGUAUUAUCCACGAGAUGAGAACCCAGAGAGAUAAUGAUAUAGCAUAUGCUAUACCUAAAGGAUACAUCACAUGGAAUAUGGGGAAUUGGGGUUUUUAAAAUUCAAUCCAAAAUUGCCCUGUAAUCCCCUUUCAUACAGUACUACACAACUUGAGACAAUAAAUGCAUCAUUUAAUCAGAAAAGUGUGGCCCU